CCAAGGGGGAAACGGUUCUGCUAUUUCACAAUGGAGCUGUGGAAGACAUGUUUCUGAAGCACAGGCCAUUUCUGAGAACAUUGCUCAGAAUUACAAUGCCCUGUGAUUAAGGUCAAUGGCAAACUGCAACUGCUCAAUACAGGUGGGAUAUCUGACAUCCCUUCAAGAAUGCAACUCUGAGCUAAUCCGCCAGUCGCCAUGAUAUGAGUAGCCUCCUAUGGCAUUUGCUCUCACGAUACACUGCGUUGCCAUAUGCCCAAGACAAGAGGUCCUCAUAACCUCUGAAAUCCCAGAGUUCAAGAAUUGAUCCCAUCCCUUCAUUUUCUCUUCUGGCUUUGGAAGGCUAAAUAUGUACCCUGGGAACAUCUUUAACAUUAACUGUUCACCUAGAAGUAUAAACAUAAGCAUCUUCAUGAGUCUGCCGGAGAAGUCCUGGUACCAUCAGUCAACAGCCGGCUUUUGAAGCCCUAGAUGCACAGGAUCCCCAGGACCCAUCUCUGCACAGCUUGAUGGGGAUAUAUCACUUCAUCACUGAUGUGCAGCUCCCUCGGAGGCUGAUGCUAAGUAAGCAAGGUCUUGUCUAUCAGGGUGCUUGGAACAUUCAACAGGGGCUGGACCCUCACAACAAGAAACUUGACUUUAUCCAAAAUGGCCCGUGAUGUUCAUGUGAUUAGUUUGAAAAAUAAAAGUAAUACCUUUUGAAGAGCAAAUACCACAGAGCUGCCUGCAUUUAAGAUCUCUUCUCUUGGGAUACGUUUUCAUCUGGAAGUGUGGGAAACAGCUAUUUCUGCAGCCUAGCAUGCUGAUGUUGGCAUGCCCUCCAUGAGAACUCUCUGCCUUUUAAUGAGUGAAACAAAGGAAAACACUGGAUUAGAAGCUGAGCAUAAUAGGCUGUGACAUUUCCUGAACUGAGAUUCCAAAGCCUGCCUUUUCAUUUUUUAAAAAUCCCAGAAGAUCUAGUUAAGAUGGAAAGUGUGAUUCCACCCAGGCAGGGAUGACAU